UGCCGACGCUAGUAAUUAUCAUUUAAUUGGAUAAUUGGAAAUUAGAAUGCACGUCUGGUCCUAUUCCGUAUCAAUGUAAGAAUUUGCUUAUAAGAAGAGCUAGUGGAUUUAGUUAGAAAGGAACCAUGUGGCAUAUUGGUAAAUAUGGCUUAGUUAAAGGGCAAAUUGGUCCAAAGAAAAAGUAUAUCAUUAUAAGGGUUUGUUUGGCUGAAAGGAUCAGAAUUGGAAAAGGAAAUGAGAAGCUUAGAAGCAUGGGAGAGAAGAGGAAGAUUCAUGUUCAUCACCUUCAUCCUCCAUUUUCGCAACUAUGGUACAGCCUUCACUAAUCAGGUAAUAACUCUCCGCUCGUAACUCCGAUUGAGCUGAUUCCGGUCCCAUUGGAUAGCUAACGAAUUUCUCUUCGAUUUGCACCUAUGGUUCGCAUUUAUAGCUUCUGAUUCGAAGGAGAAAACUGACCUUGAAGUUGUGUCAGUGAUGCUGAAAGUGUGAAAAGAGGGAUUACGGGUUUGUUCUUGUUGGAGAUGAAGAUUUGAUCAAGAAGGAAGUUUAGUGGAAGCAAGAACACAAUCUCAACCUCCAUUUUAGCAAGGUGCAGUUAGUAGCGUUUGGUCAGUAACAGGUUUGGACUGAAGACUUGGAAGUGGUGUUGGCUCGAAGACCUCGUUGGUUUUGACAUUCCGCUGUGCAAGAUCUAUUGAAGACUCAUGUAUUAUGCUUCUUAAUAGAAUUUCAUGUUGUAUUUUAUAUGGAUCUUUCUAUAACUAUAGCUUUUGUAUGUACUCAAUAUCAAUUUUAACGUUUCAUGCAUAAUAUACUAGUCAGUUAUGUAUGGGGUGUUACAGUUGGUAUCAGAGCAGGUCGAUUCUCGGCCGAGCCAUGAGACAUCACUAGCAAUUCCUUUUCCUCCUCUCAAGUGUGCGUUGCUAGCCUGAUUUUACUGAUAUCUCAUUCAGUUGUUGAACUUGAUCAACUCAUCGACUGAGUGUGAGACAGUAGGAUUACGGCAGAGCCGCCACGAGGACUCGUAAACCUGUAAGUGUUGUGAACCCAAGUAGUUGAAGUGGGACGAGUAAUGGAUUUUUUGGAUGUUGUAAGUGGAUAAUAUUGGAGUCGUCAAGCUUAAGGAGAGCGUUUGACGCGAAGUAGUGAUACCCGAACUGUCAAGAUGUGGAUGGAGACAACUAGAACCCCCAGGAUUUUGACUGAACGAAGUGAAGAUUUCUCUAAGUCUUGGUAAUAGCAAGGGAAAUCCAAAUAGGAAUGAGUAGGAGCCUUGUAAGUGGGAUUCUCCGAAGGUGUUGAGCUGAGAAUUAGUAGGAUUCAGUACUGAUGAUGCUGCUGGUGUUGAGUGCGACUGAUGAGCUGAUAGGACAGAAUAACCUUUGGUAGUGCGGACACAGAAGUCAGACCAUUCUGAUUGCGUUGGUACUAACAGUAAUUGGAUGGGUGAAGUAUUAGAUUCUUAAUCAUCUUGGUGCACCUAAGCGAGAGUAGUUUCCUAGUAAGGGUUGGUGGAAUGUACGAGUGUGGUAGCUUACGAUUGGGCGAGGCUUGAAUACCCGGUCGAUAGAAGAGGUUAUGUAUUUCUGUUCUUAUCAUUUUAUAUUUAAGCUCUAGAACUACGCUAGAUGAAAUAUGAAAUGAUGUAGAAGCGUGAAAUGCAGUAACCUGAGUUCUUGUUAGUUGUUGUUCGUCUGACCCCGAGUGAAGCCAUAGAACUACGCUUGGUGUUGGGCGUUCGGGCGAGUAAGAACUAAGAUCUAUCUGGAACGUCAGUAGGAUGAUCGCAGUUGAGUCGAAUGUUAGGAACCAUAGUAUUCCUAUCUGGACUGAAUUAUCCCUGGAAUCUCAUGCAUGCGUGGGACGAGUGGGUACCCGCACUGCAUGGUGACCCGGAGUUGAACUUCAAAUCUUCGUGCUUAGCGUUUUGGAUUUCCGAGUAAGUAAACCUUGGUGUGUAGCACUCUCAGGUUUUAGCAUCCUGAGGAGUGUGAUUCGAAGGACUUGAGGAACGAUGAGCCUAUUGGAAGCCUGUUCAGACACUUGUCGGUUGUGAUAAUAGGAUACUUGUGUGGGUCAUUAUACGCCACUGAGGUAGUUUACCUGGAUACAUGGCCUCGGAGUUAGACCACCAUGUUGGUACUACCAGACGGGUAUGAUGCCACAAUAUCGCUAUCGUGCACAAAUGCGUGAGUCAUCCUUAUUCCGACAUGUGUGGGACAAAGGUGAUCUGAAGCUCAAGGUGGAAUUCUGAUUUGGCACUCGUGAGACACAGAUCCAGACUCUCAUAAGGUAUGUGGGAUAAGGAUCCAUACAUCGCACUCGAUAGUAGAGGAAUAACUAGACAGGCGAUGAUGUGAUGGAUCAAGACCCAAUAUUAUACUUAUGGAGACUCUGAGUGAUCGUGAUCGCGUGAGUUAGUAUCCGAUUGUACCUUGGGGAUGUCCUCGUUUUGUGAAGUGUUAAGUUGGAAAUCUUGCAUGAGUGUCUAGAGUGGGACUCAUGUGCGGUCAUGAUAUCCUGGUCAGCAUGGUGAGUGGCUAUCAUGUACCAUUGGCGACCGGUGAUGGAAUAUGCAAGUUGUAUCUUGGAUCGGCUCGAUGUGUGAUGUGUCCGGUAAGAUAUUGCUAGGUACUCUGAAAGGAGAAGUGUUAAUCUUGGUAAGGCAUGGACAAUUUGGUUUGAGAACUGCUAAGGAGUUUAUAAGAGAGAUGUUCGAAGUGCAAAGUGCAAAGUGCAAUUUCUUGCAUUGUGGCUACACUCAGACCGUUGGAAGCACUGCAAUGAAGGAUGCAGCCGCUGAGGAAGUCAGUUCAGUGUCUGAUUCAGAGGUGACGUUAGAUGAUUGUGUGAAUGGAGUGUGGCUAUGGGAGGAUCGUUAUAUCAGUAGGUCACACGAGUUAUCAGAGGUGAUACUACGCUAAGAGAAUGAAGGUGUAUGGUUGGGUAGAAGUUGUGUAAAACUGCUAGAGUUAUCAUGAACUGCAGUAUGUCGUGAAGGAUUCGAUAUACCGGUUGAGCAACAAAGAUUUGUUGGAAUGACAGACAUAACGGUUAUACACUAUGAGAAUCAGUAACGAAGGACGAUUUCUAAGUCAAUGAGCAUUUGGUUCUCAAUGUCCUGAGGAUGAAACGUGUACCUAAGUUGUGGUAGAUGAACUAUAUGGAAUGGCAGAGUAAGUAGAAGCUUGAUUCUGGAAAGUACGCAACUUCAAAGAGUAGUAGCCGAUGAUGGAUAUAUAUAUAAAGUUCUGGCACGUGUUGUAAUUGGACGACUGUAGAUAAGGAAUUAUUGUGUAUUAAUGGGAACUAAGUGAAUUAUGGAUAUAAUAUGACUCAGAGGAUUUCAAGGUGUGUGACUUGUUGGAAUCAGAGUAGCGCAACGGAUCAGGGAAGAAUCAGAUAAGUCUGAGGUAGGAAUGGACGGACUAUUCGCAUGAUCUUAUAUUGGGAUGAAAAUAUCUUCCUAAGGGAAAUUGUCAAAGCAGCGUUUCGUUCGUUCUAGUCUCUUAAGGAUCACCAUAAUCUUGAGAGGUAUUGUUGACGACCGACUUAGAGGAGGCUUCAUGAUUGAUGUGCAAUCGGAUGUUUUCUUGGUCGACGGUCGAGCUUGUGAAUAUCGUGAUCGUUGAAAUGAUGAAGUCAAGUGAAGCAUUUUGCUUGACAAAGAUUUAUCAUGGAUAUGUCUGGUGCACUUAUGAGCGUGCGUGAAGAAUUUGGGCGAAGAUUGUAGGACCGCUGUUAGAGUUCACCUUUUGUCAGUGGAACUGCAAGGGAAAUUGUCGGAUAUUAAGGAUGUAGUUGUGGGAUUCUACUCCCUUGUGGUUUGCAGUGGCAGUGAUGUGGUCUAAGACUGAAUGAAGGAUCGGUUUGGAAGUGAAUCCGGGAUAUCGUCAUUGAAGGAAAGUUGUAAUAAGAUUUCUUGGAAUGGCAGUGUUUUUGGGAACCUAUGGCAAAAGUGGAGAUUCUGGGGCUUAUAUUAGUAAGGAUGAGCUUAGCAGAUACGUGGUAUGAUGAAUAUCCCAACUAGGCAUGGAUUGCCAUCAGUUCCAAGGCUACAGACUCAGUAUGAUGUGUAGAGGUUGGAGACCUCAGAAGAGAUGUGUCAUGAAAGAUCUGGGGUUUUCAAUCGGGGAUGGUAGAGCACAAGUCUAUUAGUAGUAGGUUAUGUUUCCUUAGACGGAACAAGUUUCAAUCAGAGUUGUAAGGUUUAUCCAAAGGAGAAGAUGUGAAGGUGUUUGUUGGCAUGGUGAUCGGAAGGAAUUCGAGGGCGAAUUCUAUUUAAGGGGGGGAGAAUGUAAUACCCCGGUUUGCCGACGCUAGUAAUUAUCAUUUAAUUGGAUAAUUGGAAAUUAGAAUGCACGUCUGGUCCUAUUCCGUAUCAAUGUAAGAAUUUGCUUAUAAGAAGAGCUAGUGGAUUUAGUUAGAAAGGAACCAUGUGGCAUAUUGGUAAAUAUGGCUUAGUUAAAGGGCAAAUUGGUCCAAAGAAAAAGUAUAUCAUUAUAAGGGUUUGUUUGGCUGAAAGGAUCAGAAUUGGAAAAGGAAAUGAGAAGCUUAGAAGCAUGGGAGAGAAGAGGAAGAUUCAUGUUCAUCACCUUCAUCCUCCAUUUUCGCAACUAUGGUACAGCCUUCACUAAUCAGCUUCUGAUUCGAAGGAGAAAACUGACCUUGAAGUUGUGUCAGUGAUGCUGAAAGUGUGAAAAGAGGGAUUACGGGUUUGUUCUUGUUGGAGAUGAAGAUUUGAUCAAGAAGGAAGUUUAGUGGAAGCAAGAACACAAUCUCAACCUCCAUUUUAGCAAGGUGCAGUUAGUAGCGUUUGGUCAGUAACAGGUUUGGACUGAAGACUUGGAAGUGGUGUUGGCUCGAAGACCUCGUUGGUUUUGACAUUCCGCUGUGCAAGAUCUAUUGAAGACUCA